UACGGGGGGGGGCAAGCGUUGUUCGGAAUUACUGGGCGUAAAGGGUCUGUAGGUGGCUUGCUAAGUCAGACGUGAAAUCCCUCAGCUUAACUGGGGAACUGCGUCUGAGACUGGCGAGCUUGAGGGCAGGAGAGGAAGGCGGAAUUCCCGGUGUAGCGGUGAAAUGCGUAGAUAUCGGGAGGAACAUCAGUGGCGAAGGCGGCCUUCUGGUCCAGUACUGACACUCAAGUGCGAAAGCGUGGGGAGCAAACAGG
rnacentral:rRNA from 1 species